rnacentral:rRNA from 1 species
GACGAACGCUGGCGGCGUGCUUAACACAUGCAAGUCGAGCGGUAAGGCCCUUUCGGGGGUACACGAGCGGCGAACGGGUGAGUAACACGUGGGUGACCUGCCCUCAGCUCUGGGAUAAGCCUGGGAAACUGGGUCUAAUACUGGAUAUGACUCCACGGUGCAUGUCGUGGGGUGGAAAGCCUUGUGCGGCUGAGGAUGGGCCCGCGGCCUAUCAGCUUGUUGGUGGGGUGAGGCCUACCAAGGCGACGACGGGUAGCCGGCCUGAGAGGGCGACCGGCCACACUGGGACUGAGACACGGGCCCAGACUCCUACGGGAGGGCAGCAGUGGGGGAAUCUUGCGCAAUGGGCGAAANCCUGACGCAGCGACGCCGCGUGAGGGAUGACGGCCUGGU